rnacentral:rRNA from 1 species
UACAGAGGGUGCGAGCGUUAAUCGGAAUUACUGGGCGUAAAGCGCACGUAGUCGGCUUUGCAAGUCGGGUGUGAAAUCCCCGGGCUCAACCUGGGAACUGCAUCCGAGACUGCAUUGCUAGAGUAUGGGAGAGGGAAGCGGAAUUUCUGGUGUAGCAGUGAAAUGCGUAGAUAUCGAGAGGAACACCGGUGGCGAAGGCGGGUCUCUGGGCCGAUACUGACGCUGAGGAGCGAAAGCGUGGGGAGCAAACAGG